UGAGUUACAUGAUUACCUUGGUAAGUUAUUUCUCCACGGUGAUUCUAUUUUAUUUUAUUAUAAAAAUAUAAAACUAUGGUAAGAAUUUGGAUACACGAGUCCACUUUGGAGAAUCGCAAGUGCACUCUGCAUGAGAAUUGCAAUGUCCAGAUUUAAAACCCAUGUGUUUACAUUUUUCUGAGCAGACAUCGCUGUAACAUAGUCUAAUCACAUUGGUUUGUGCCGCAACCUCACCAUUUGCGCUGCAACAAUAUAACACAACUUUAUGAAUAAGAUUAAAGAAAGAAAAACAAAUUCAACUACAAAAGAAAGAGGCUUAUGUACCAUAGAAACAUUAAGAAGAGAGUAAAAAAAGUGAGAAAAAUAGUAUUUUGAUUUCUC
rnacentral:lncRNA from 1 species